rnacentral:rRNA from 1 species
GCGGCACGCUUACACAUGCAACUCGAACGAAGUAGCAAUACUUAGUGGCAGACGGGUGAGUAACAUGUNCGUAUCUGCCCUUUGGCCUGGAAUAACACGAGGAAACUUGUGCUAAUACCGGAUAAGUCUUUACAGGGAAAGUUUUAUACGCCGAAAGAUGAGCCUGCACUUGAUUAGCUAGUUGGUAAGGUAAUAGCUUACCAAGGCUACGAUCAAUANUUGAUCUGAGAGGAUGAUCAGCCACAUUGGGACUGAGACACGGCCCAAACUCCUACGGGAGGCAGCAGUGGGGAAUCUUGCACAAUGGGGGAAACCCUGAUGCAGCGAUGCCGCGUGAGUGAAGAAGGCCCUUGGGUUGUAAAGCUCUUUCGUCGGGGAAGAAAAUGACUGUACCCGAAUAAGAAGGUCCGGCUAACUUCGUGCCAGCAGCCGCGGUAAUACGAAGGGACCUAGCCGUAGUUCGGAAUUACUGGGCUUAAAGAGUUCGUAGGUGGUUGAAAAAGUUAGUGGUGAAAUCCCAGAGCUUAACUCUGGAACUGCCAUUAAAACUUUU